GACGAACGCUGGCGGCGUGCUUAACACAUGCAAGUCGAGCGGUAAGGCCCUUUCGGGGGUACGACGAGCGGCGAACGGGUGAGUAACACGUGGGUGACCUGCCCUCAGCUCUGGGAUAAGCCUGGGAAACCGGGUCUAAUACCGGAUAUGACUCCAUGACGCAUGUUGUGGGGUGGAAAGCCUUGUGCGGCUGAGGAUGGGCCCGCGGCCUAUCAGCUUGUUGGUGGGGUGAUGGCCUACCAAGGCGACGACGGGUAGCCGGCCUGAGAGGGCGACCGGCCACACUGGGACUGAGACACGGCCCAGACUCCUACGGGAGGCAGCAGUGGGGAAGUCUUGCGCAAUGGGCGAAAGCCUGACGCAGCGACGCCGCGUGAGGGAUGACGG
rnacentral:rRNA from 1 species